AGAGUUUGAUCAUGGCUCAGGACGAACGCUGGCGGCGUGCCUAACACAUGCAAGUCGAACGGGGGUAGCAAUACCCCCAGUGGCGAACGGGUGCGUAACACGUGAGGAACUUGUCCAUCGGCGGGGGAUAGCCGGCCCAACGGCCGGGUAAUACCGCGUACGUCGGCGGGAUCGCAUGGUCCUGCCGGGAAAGCAGCAAUGCACCGAUGGAGAGCCUCGCGGCCUAUCAGCUAGUUGGUGAGGUAAUGGCUCACCAAGGCGACGACGGGUAGCUGGUCUGAGAGGAUGAUCAGCCACAUUGGGACUGAGACACGGCCCAGACUCCUACGGGAGGCAGCAGUGGGGAAUAUUGCGCAAUGGGCGAAAGCCUGACGCAGCGACGCCGCGUGUGGGAUGACGGCCUUCGGGUUGUAAACCACUGUCGCGAGGGACGAAGAUCUGACGGUACCUCGAAAGGAAGCACCGGCUAACUCUGUGCCAGCAGCCGCGGUAAUACAGAGGGUGCGAGCGUUGUCCGGAAUUACUGGGCGUAAAGGGCGCGUAGGCGGUCCGAUAAGUAGGGGGUGAAAUCUCACGGCUCAACCGGGAGGCUGCCUUCUAGACUGUCGGACUUGAGCACGGUAGAGGCAGAUGGAAUUCCCGGUGUAGCGGUGGAAUGCGUAGAGAUCGGGAAGAACACCAGUGGCGAAGGC
rnacentral:rRNA from 1 species